rnacentral:rRNA from 1 species
ACUCCUACGGGAGGCAGCAGUGGGGAAUAUUGCACAAUGGGGGAAACCCUGAUGCAGCCAUGCCGCGUGUGUGAAGAAGGCCUUCGGGUUGUAAAGCACUUUCAGUAGGGAGGAAGGUAGUGUAGUUAACACCUGCAUUAUUUGACGUUACCUACAGAAGAAGCACCGGCUAACUCCGUGCCAGCAGCCGCGGUAAUACGGAGGGUGCGAGCGUUAAUCGGAAUUACUGGGCGUAAAGCGCAUGCAGGCGGCCUGUUAAGUCAGAUGUGAAAGCCCGGGGCUUAACCUCGGAAUUGCAUUUGAAACUGGCAGGCUAGAGUCUUGUAGAGGGGUUAGAAUUUCAGGUGUAGCGGUGAAAUGCGUAGAGAUCUGAAGGAAUACCAGUGGCGAAGGCGGCCCCCUGGACAAAGACUGACGCUCAGAUGCGAAAGCGUGGGAGCAAACAGGAUUAGAUACCCCGUGGUAGCGACUGA